AAGUCGUAACAAGGUUUCCGUAGGUGAACCUGCGGAAGGAUCAUUAUUGAAUUCCAAGUGAAGUUGUUGCUGGCUUUCCGAAGCAUGUGCACACUUUGCAUAUAUUCAACCACCUGUGAACCUUUUGUAGAUCUAGCACAAUUCUCAAGGCAACUUGGAUGGAGAGUUGCGGGUCUUUUCGAAGAUCAGCUUCUCUUGGGUGCUCAGAUCUAUGUCUUACAAACCCUUAAUGUAAAGAAUGUCUUUAAUGGUCUUUAUGGCCUUAAACUAAUACAACUUUCAACAACGGAUCUCUUGGCUCUC
rnacentral:misc_RNA from 1 species